AACGCGAAGAACCUUACCUGGGCUCGAACGGCUUCAGACAGUCGUGGAAACACGAUCUUCCCCUUAAAAGGACUGGAGUCGAGGUGCUGCAUGGCUGUCGUCAGCUCGUGUCGUGAGAUGUUGGGUUAAGUCCCGCAACGAGCGCAACCCUUGUCCUGUGUUGCCACUCCCGCAAGGGAAGCACUCUCAGGAGACCGCCAGCGAUAAGCUGGAGGAAGGUGGGGAUGAUGUCAAGUCAUCAUGGCCUUUAUGUCCAGGGCUACACACGUGCUACAAUGGACGGUACAAAGCGCUGCAAACCCGCGAGGGGGAGCCAAUCGCAAAAAACCGUUCUCAGUUCGGAUCGCAGGCUGCAACUCGCCUGCGUGAAGCUGGAAUCGCUAGUAAUGGCGUAUCAGAAUGAUGCCGUGAAUACGUUCCCGGGCCUUGUACACACCGGCUAC
rnacentral:rRNA from 1 species